rnacentral:lncRNA from 1 species
AUGGCGGCGAGCAGCGGUAGCGCCGGUUCCACAGGCCCAGCGGGUCCGGUGUCGUUCGGCUUCAGCCGAAAAGCGGAGCGGAGGCGGCUGCUGGCGGCCGGGCCUUGCUCCGAACCGGAGAGCGACGGUGCGGACAUCGAUUACCUCAAGGCGGUAGAAGACCGCGAGUUAUUGAGUGCCAAGCCGGCCCCGCCCCCUCCGAAGGAACUCGUGAUCCCCCUUCGCCCCGCCCACCGCUGGAGGAACCCGGAAGCGCCAAGCUCCGCCCCCUCCUCGCCAGGCCACGCCCCAACCGCAACAAACCACGCCUCCUCGCCAGGCCCCGCCCCCUCUGCAACAAACCACGCCCCCGAUGCCGCAGGCCACGCCCCCGAGGGGGACCCCGUUACCUUGGAAACGGCGGCAGUGCAGGAGCUGCUGCGGGAGGCACGGCAGAGCCAGGAGCAGGGCCAGGAGACCCCCAGUGCAGCCCCCAUCCCCAUGAGGAUGAAGGAGGAGAACGUGGGCAGCGGCGCUCUGCCCGUGAGUUGGGGGUCUGGAACCCCCAGCGACCCCCCUAAGACCCCCUAUGACCCCCCUCAGCACUCCCAACCCUCCCCACAGGACCCCC